rnacentral:lncRNA from 1 species
GGGACAGGGGAAAGCUUCAACAAUUUCACCUAGCAUUAAUAGUAAAUUAAGUUGGACCGCAUGGCAUUGUUCAUAACAUGUCUCCAAGUUGUCAUGGAUGUAAACCACCAUGUAUCAUGGACCAUAUUGAUCAAUUUUGUCUCACAAUUACAAAGUUGGCACAUACAAUUAUAUAUGAUCACCUUGGUAAUUGGUACCAAUCUAAAAGUAGUUUUUAAAGGGAUGAAUACCCAUAGGAACUUAAUCCUCGUCGCU